AGUGGUGGGCUUGGGUUGUUAGAAAUGGUAUCAGAGCCAGACACCAAGCGAUGUGCUAGCGAGGAGGUUGAGCCUCAAAGGGAGAUGAACAUGAGGCGGUGUACCA